GAAGACAUGUGGAGAUAUCCAAUUUACUACAAAGAGUAAAAGGAACUGUACAGGUCUACAGAACUGACACUCGAGAUUAGUGAUGCCAUUUCCUGUAUCAAAAAUUCAAAAUCAUGAAAGUCACGAUGACUCAUGACAGAGCAGGACAUUGUGACGUGGCUCAUCUGGUACUAACAAGUAAAAAACAGGUCUCAAUUUUAGGAAAAACGUAAUUCAUUCUACAACUGACUUGGCUUGGCCAUUCCUAUCAUAAGAUGUGAAAGAAGAGCUGGAAAGCACAUCUGGUUACCUAUUCUAAUGGGUGCAGAAAUGGAUCUAACAGGAAGGGGAAGCCAUAUAAUACUCCCCAGGAAUGUUUAAAAGAGGAUUCUUCAGGCUUUCAUGGAAAACAGGAGUUUUAAGGGGACAUCCUAGCCAAUCUCUCCAGGCUGUGUGUCAGAUGGGGAUGUGUCUGGUUGUAUCACUUUUGGAAGGGCAGCUUAUCCCUCUUGGGCAUGAAGCAAUGUCAAUAGCUCCUUGAGCACCAAUUGAUUCAUGAGUAAAAAGAAAGGCCGAGAUGUUAGAAGUAACCCACAACUGUGAAGAAAACUAUGAAU